AACGAACGCUGGCGGCAUGCCUAACACAUGCAAGUCGAACGAAGCCUUCGGGCUUAGUGGCGCACGGGUGCGUAACGCGUGGGAAUCUGCCCCUUGCUUCGGAAUAACAGUUAGAAAUGACUGCUAAUACCGGAUGAUGUCUUCGGACCAAAGAUUUAUCGGCAAGGGAUGAGCCCGCGUAGGAUUAGGUAGUUGGUGGGGUAAAGGCCUACCAAGCCGACGAUCCUUAGCUGGUCUGAGAGGAUGAUCAGCCACACUGGGACUGAGACACGGCCCAGACUCCUACGGGAGGCAGCAGUGGGGAAUAUUGGACAAUGGGGGCAACCCUGAUCCAGCAAUGCCGCGUGAGUGAUGAAGGCCUUAGGGUUGUAAAGCUCUUUUACCAGGGAUGAUAAUGACAGUACCUGGAGAAUAAGCUCCGGCUAACUCCGUGCCAGCCGCCGCCGUAAGAC
rnacentral:rRNA from 1 species